rnacentral:misc_RNA from 1 species
CGCGCCCUAAAGAGCCUGUGAUACCCUUCGCCCACCGUGAGCGCCUGUUAAAAUGGCGGCUGCCAGCGAAGCAACAAGUGAGAAGGCAAUGAUGUUGAUGGAAAUGUUUGACGACGACAACAAUUACACAUACCACGCUUACACCGAUGACGAUGACACCGACGACGAAAUAAUAAUUGAAACAAUCGAUCGCAGCAUCAACGAAGGGUUAUUUAUAGCGGCAACCCUUUGUCAACGAAAGAGGAAAAAGCCUAAAGAAUUAGAGAUUAUGUAGAAAGAACAGUACAGGAGUACUGUGAAGUAGAAUUUCAUCAGCAUUUUCGAAUGCACAGGGCAGAUUUUGAAGUAAGUACUUUAAACACUUUCUAGGGCUUAUGUUUCAAAGUAUAUAGUGUAUAAAAUGUAUCGUGCUUUUACAGUCUGCUUGCACGUAUUGGAAGGAGUUUAAAAUAAUAGGAUUUGUGCAUGGGAAGUUUGUCAUUUGUAAAAGUGUAUGUUGAUCCUUAUGAAGUGCAGUGCUGCCAUUGACUGAGGUACAGACCUAUAUAAGUGUUCAAGUACAGACCUAUAUAAGUGUUCAAGUUAUUGUUGCAGUUUAUAUUCAUUACAUACAUAUUCAUAAAAACACUGUAAUGUUAAUAUUUUUCACAUAUUUCAUUGUUCCUUCAUCUUAGGUACUUUGUAACUGGAUUGGCCCCUUGUUGCCCAAGGAGCGUACAAUCAGCUUGGAGAAAAAAAUGCUGGCAACAUUGUGGUUCCUUGGGAACCAAGAAUCCUUCAGAGGGAUUGGCGACAGAUUUAAUCUCAGCAAGGGAUCACUUAGGAGAGUAAUCCAUCUUAUCUGCCACACACUAGCAUCUCAUCAAAAGAAAUGGAUUAAGUGGCCAGCUCUGGCUGAAAUGCAUGAAAAUGCUUCGCAGUUCCAAGCAAGGUACUUUGUAACUGGAUUGGCCCCUUGUUGCCCAAGGAGCGUACAAUCAGCUUGGAGAAAAAAAUGCUGGCAACAUUGUGGUUCCUUGGGAACCAAGAAUCCUUCAGAGGGAUUGGCGACAGAUUUAAUCUCAGCAAGGGAUCACUUAGGAGAGUAAUCCAUCUUAUCUGCCACACACUAGCAUCUCAUCAAAAGAAAUGGAUUAAGUGGCCAGCUCUGGCUGAAAUGCAUGAAAAUGCUUCGCAGUUCCAAGCAAGGUAAAGCUAUCUACAUUACUACUAUACAUAUAUACACAAUUCUUUUAAAGAAGUUUGCAUUUAUUUUUCAUGAUUGAUCUUCAGCUGCCCUGCACAAUCUCUUGGGGUCUUAGCAGCCAUGCUGCACAGCAAUUUUUCAAAUCUUUACUGCUAGCAAUUUACAUGUGUACAGUGGGCACCAAGAACCCUAGUAGUCUUUUUUCAUUGCUGCAUAUUGGCUCUAGGAUCUAUUCAUCUUUGCAAUGGUUUCAAAAUGCAAUUGCAUAUAACACUUCGACAGUUGGCAAUGGUUUAUAAUAAAACUUGAGAGUGUCACACAGAUAGCCCCUCCCAAAUGUGGUACAUCUAUUUCUCCCACACUUGCAGCUUUUAUAGUUUGAGGAAUCAAAAUAUUAAAUAUAAAAUCGGAUUUAAGCAUUUCUUGCGGUACGCAGGGCCUACUACGUUUGCAGAACUUUUAUAUUUAAUCAAGCCUGCAAUUCGCAGACAAGAUACUGUCAUGAGACAGUAUUAAAGCCGAGGAAAGAUUGGCAGUGACCCUGCGGUACCUUGGGUCAGGAAUGCAUUUUUUUGUUUUUGUUUUCUUUGCAUGCUUAGGUUUGGUUAAUUUUAUGUACAGAAGAGUACUAAGUAUGGAACACAAACUGUUGAUCUCCAGCUCAUUCCAACGUUAUUAGUCUGAAUGGUCAAUUUAAAUAUUGAAAAGGUGCCCUAGUUAUGAGCAAAUAGAAAAAUGUACGCACCUUCAACACACACACCACAUACAAUUCAUUUGUCAUGGAGCAGCUAGACUAUAGACGGCAUAAACGAUUUCAGGUACCUAUUGCUUCUAUUUUACAGGCAUGAUAUAACGUUUACCUGAACUUAAUAAUGUAAAUUCUAACAUUAGUACCUGUUGAGGACCUGAUAAAAUUGCAGGAAGCUUUCCUUACUAUUUGUUGGCCACAGCAUCAGAGAGAACUUAAUGAGGUAGCUAGUCUCCUCCAUAGUUCUACAGCUAUCGGUGUACAUAAUAAACAACAGGGGUGACAGGCAACAGCCUUGUGAGGACCCGGUGCUUGUAGCAAUAUCAGAAUAAUGGCAAUUUAAAUAAACCCUCUGCUGUCUGCAAGUAAAAAAAUCCACGGAAAAGCACAAACACCAUACUGGUGUAAGCAACUAUCCUCUAGAUCUAAACAGAAAUCAGUUUAAUUGCAUCUCUGUGUUGGUAGACUUGGUUAGUAUGUUUUUAAUUAGGCAAAAUGCUUUAUUGUACAACCAGGGGAAAAAUCUCAAAAUAACAGCAUAAAGCACCAAAGUGCAGAAUUCAUCACUAUUAAUUGUUUACGGUAGUUGUAAUAUAAUUUUCAUGUCUUACUGUCAGAGAAUCAUUCAGUAAUUUAGUUGAAGCUGCUUGAAACUUCAGAUUAAUUUCUUAUUCAUAUAUGUUUCAUAUGAACUGUCAAGAUGUUGUGCUGAAAUAAUUUUUUGUGAAUGCUAACCCACAUGAGCAGACGUGGUCUGAUUUUAUUUCCAGGCAAUUCAUUCGCGGACCUAUCGUUCCUUUUCCGGAUCCCAGGAAACACAAUCCACAACAUAGUAAUGGAUACCUGUGCUGCAUUGUACAGGAUUCUUCGGGUGGAUUAUUUGAAGGUACAGUGUUGUUAAAGUGUAGGAAACAUAGAAUGCAUAGGAGCAUCCAACAAAUGACAUCCAUUAUUUGGGGCGAAGAAAUGAUUGCUGUGAUAUCAUAUUGUAACCUCCUUGUCAGUCACAAAAUUUGUUGAUAAAUAAAUGUGUUAUGUGGUCUGCGAG